rnacentral:tRNA from 1 species
GGGCUCGUAUAUCAGGGGUAGAUAGCUACGUUCGCAACGUAGAUGCCGCGGGUUCAAAUCCCGCCGGGUCCAC